UCUGGAGGACAGGUGCUGCAUGGCUGUCGUCAGCUCGUGUCGUGAGAUGUUGGGUUAAGUCCCGGCAACGACGCGCAACCCUUGCCUUUAGUUGCCAGCAGUUCGGCUGGGCACUCUAAAGGGACUGCCGGUGUUAAACCGGAGGAAGGUGGGGAUGACGUCAAGUCCUCAUGGCCUUUAUGACCAGGGCUACACACGUACUACAAUGGCCGAUACAAAGGGCAGCGACACUGCGAGGUGAAGCCAAAUCCCCGUAAAAUCGGUCUCAGUCCGGAUUGGAGUCUGCAACUCGACUCCAUGAAGUUGGAAUCGCUAGUAACCGUGGAUCAGCAUGCCACGGUGAAUACGUUCCCGGGCCUU
rnacentral:rRNA from 1 species